GUUUGGGGGGCUUCCGGGAAGACGCCAGGCCUCCUAAACAAGCAGAAGCUGCUGCGGCGCCCUCGCGCCAGCCCUGGGUGCUCACGUGCCGGCUUGCUGUGGGUCGGUGGCGAUCCACCACAUCUGGGGACCCGGGAAUGAGUGGAGCCUGGAGGGUACCCCCGGUGUCUUCUUGCUACACAGCUGUCUUGCUUCUUCCCACCCCGUCCUCUCUGCACCCCGUGCUCUUUGCAUGCCUCCCCAUCCCCGGGUGCAGCUGAGUGUGAGUCUUCGUGGCGCCCUUCCAGCCACUUUGCUAGGCCCGGUCAGUGAGUGGGAAGCCCGGCAGUUUCCCUAGCGCGUCCUGCAGCUGUGAGAGAUGAAGGCCAACCCCGCGGGGCUCUGAUCUCCGGCGCGCCCAAGUCCCCCGCCGCGUGCCCCUCACCAUGACCGGCUCCGCCGCGGACACUCAUCGCUGCCCCCACCCCAAAGGCGCCAAAGGCACCCGGUCCCGGAGCAGCCACGCGCGGCCAGUAAGCCUCGCCACCAGCGGAGGCUCAGAGGAGGAGGACAAAGACGGCGGGGUGCUGUUCCACGUGAACAAGAGUGGCUUUCCGAUCGACAGCCACACCUGGGAGCGGAUGUGGUUGCAUGUCGCCAAGGUCCAUCCCAAAGGGGGAGAGAUGGUGGGCGCCAUCAGAAAUGCUGCCUUCCUGGCAAAGCCUUCAAUUCCCCAGGUCCCAAACUACAGGCUGUCCAUGACGAUCCCAGACUGGCUCCAGGCCAUCCAGAAUUACAUGAAGACACUACAAUACAAUCACACAGGAACCCAGUUCUUUGAAAUCAGGAAAAUGAGACCUCUGAGUGGGUUAAUGGAAACGGCGAGAGAGAUGACCCGAGAAUCCUUGCCUAUCAAAUGCCUUGAGGCAGUCAUUCUGGGCAUAUAUUUAACCAACGGGCAGCCUUCCAUCGAGCGGUUCCCCAUCAGCUUUAAAACCUAUUUCUCAGGAAACUACUUUCACCAUGUCGUGCUGGGGAUUUAUUGCAACGGUUACUACGGCUCACUGGGCAUGAGCCGAAGGGCCGAGCUGAUGGACAAGCCGCUGACCUUUCGGACUCUGAGCGACCUAGUCUUUGACUUUGAAGAUUCCUACAAGAAAUACCUGCACACGGUCAAGAAGGUCAAGAUUGGGCUGUACGUCCCCCAUGAGCCUCACAGCUUCCAGCCCAUUGAGUGGAAGCAGCUGGUCCUCAACGUCUCCAAGAUGCUGAGGGCCGACAUCCGGAAGGAGCUGGAGAAGUACGCCAGGGACAUGCGGAUGAAGAUCCUGAAACCUGCAAGUGCCCACUCGCCAACUCAAGUGAGAAGCCGGGGAAAAUCCCUGUCUCCCCGAAGGAGGCAAGCGAGUCCCCCAAGGAGGCUCGGCAGGCGAGACAAGUCAAUUGAAGAGAACCACACUAUCUUUGGAGACAAGGUGGAAAUAACCAGGAGGAAGAGCCAAGGCAAGCGGCCACGCCGGCGCCUUCACCUGCACCCGAGGAAGACAGCAGUUAGACAGCUACGGCUCACCUCAAGUCAAGGUUCCACGGCACCUUUGUCAGCCUCUUUGAUGCUCUUAGGGAAGCGGAAGAAACCCUGAAGUAGAUCCUAAAUCCCACUUACAGCCUCGGUCCCAUCAACCCAAGGUGACAAGGGGCUCAUAAGAAAAUGGAAGCUGUCAGAACGCUCGCAUACGGUGUCAUCCUGGAAAGUCGCCAGCACCCUAAGUAAUCUCCUGUUACUCAGUGCCUGCUCUACCGGAGAAGAAGGUGGCUGACCUUAGCACGCUGAACGAAGUGGGCUAUCAGAUCCGGAUCUAGCCAGGCCAGGCUGGCAAGGCUUCUAUGGUGCUCUUUUCUGCACUUUACGCAGCAGCUUCGGGACCUGCGACCUGCGACUGUCCAUGAGGAACUUGCGCAGCUUUGAUCUUGAAGGACUUCCCUGGGAACAGAAAUCUGAAUGGGUGGACACGUGAGCCUUGAAAAAUGCUGUGGGCAGCAGGCAUGACUGGGCUAAGUGAUGGACAGGCCCCUUGGUUGACUGUCUCCCUCAGGAUCUCAAGGACAACAUUGGAGUUUUCUAUUUUUCCAUUUGCCGACUGUUCCGCUUGCUUUGGACAUUAUGCCUCAGCUGUAGUCAACUUCUGGAGUUCUCUCCACUCUCUGUACCCCAGCCAGUGUUACCGUCUUCUCAGCAAUAACAAGCAAAGAUGGUGGGUUUUUUAAGCAGUUGAUAUUACCUCAACAUUUUGGCACCAGAUAUGCAAUCUUAAUGAGUUUUUUAUAUUCUAUUUGUAUUGUUUUCCUAGUGUUUCUUAUAGGGAUCUGGAUGGUUUGGCGGGUUUGUUGUUUUUUUCUGGUACACACACGAGACGAGAUUUAAGGUGUCAUAUGCAAAUGCUUUAGCAAAAAGCACUGCGAUUCUGGCAAUAAGGGACAACACAUUAGGAUCAUGGAGUCACUUAAAGCAUCUGCUGACAGCAGGCUUCCCUCUUUCAAAGCAAGCAAGCCAGUCCAUGUCUGUUGCUAACAUUUAAGCUUUUCCAAAUCCAGCAAAAAGCACAAGAGGCCACAUACUCACCAAAAUCCAGCAGUGCCAAGAUGUCCUCAGGCAGAAAGGUACUCAAAGGACAGACACUGCAGGGGCUAACCUUCCACUCAUGCUUGGUCAGCCUUGGUUCUGAGGGUCUCACCAUUGUUAAUAAGCUCUCUGCUGUCUUACAUUAAGGCAAAUGUGAUAGACUAUUUCCAUCAUCCACUUCAUGGCAUAAGGAGGUGCUGGGGAAAACUGUGAACUCAAGAAGCAGGCCUGUCUUAAAGGAAAAGGUCCAGCCCAGCACUGUGCCUCAGGUCCUGAAGCAGAGAGCAAGCCUGCCUGUGGCCACUGCAGUGUGACUUUUGAAAGCAUCUGGAGUCCAGCUUUAGGUCACGUGUGCAGCCACUAUGCAGAAAGCCCAGCUCAUCCCGAGAGCUCUCGGCAUACGCUCCUCUGGCUGUGACUGACAGACCUGCUAGCCGACCAUUUGCUGAGUCUUCAGCAGGAAAACCUAGGGUUACAAGGGAGGCAACAGCCCUGGGCACAAAAACUCGCUCUACCCUCAAGCCAGUACUGUUUUCUUGGAAAAGUUCAGUGUCCUCUAGAGACCAGAACCAGGAAGCUAAAAUAGUGUAAGCUUCAAAUUCUGAACUUAAUCGCUUUCUUCAAGAAUCCUGUUAGCAGAGUUCAAGAUAAGUUACUGGGCCUGGUGAGCGCUAGGAAGUUCUGCUCUGACCUUGAGACCCAAGAAAGCACCACUGUCCUCCACAGUCCCUCACACGCUGUCCAGUCUGACUCAAGGCUGCCUGUAUCCAAGUGUCCUGAGGAGCCGGAGAGUGUUCUCACUUUUGCUCAGCUGUUUAACCCCCCCAAAACUGCUCCAUGUGGUAGCCGGACUGAUUAGAAUUCAGCGACUAGGCCCCUGCAGCUGCCUUGUUCAAGGAUAGCUCACAAGAACGUCAGACAGCGGGGACAACCUUAAUCCCCAGCAAGACAAAGAACAGCACCCAGCUGUCCCUGGGUGUGACGCUCUGCCAUCUAAUCUUUUCCACAACCACUUUGAUUUUUAGAUUCAUUUUCCAAAGCAAGAUUAGUCACAGAAACAUUUAAAGUGCUCUUUGCCUUUCAAUUUUACUGACUGUAGUUACAUCAACUUCUAAAAACAGAAGGAAGGCACGAAACACCUAAAUUUUAAUGCAAGUUUAAUUAAAAAGAACCCAGUGUGUUUGACCUCUCCUCAGCCUGGCUGUGGUUUCUGAAGGCAGAGAGGAAAAGUACGAGGUGACUGGAGCAAGUUUAUCCUGUGGCAGGAUGUGCAGAGCCGAGCGACAAGCCUCAGGCUGACCCGCUGCUGAUUGUAAGAGGUGAUCCCUCGUGUUUUCCGUACACUGGCAUCUUGCGCAUAUCCCUUUCCUUGAGUCAUCUAUUUCAUGGGUAUCCCCCGCAGACAUGGGUAAGGGCCUUCGCAACCUUCAACUUACUCUACAAGGUUUUUGUAUGCUGGACUUUAAUGUACAACCUUGUAUAGUUUUUUUGACACACAAUUGAGAUUCUUGUUUAUUCUUAGACCUUGUUAUAUUUCAGAAGACCCGUGGCUGUCUGGGUAUUUUUCUAAGUGCACGGAGACUGACGGUAUCUAAGGAGCGCCAGGAGAGCAUGCUUCAGGCUUGCGUUUCUCUCAUCACGUGUGCGACACAGCAUGGAACUGUAGUAAAGAUCAUUCUGGAAACUGA